rnacentral:rRNA from 1 species
UUGAACGCUGGCGGAAUGCUUUACGCAUGCAAGUCGAGCGGCAGCGCGGGGGCAACCCUGGCGGCGAGCGGCGAACGGGUGAGUAACAUAUCGGAACGUACCCUGAAGUGGGGGAUAACGUAGCGAAAGUUACGCUAAUACCGCAUAUUCUAUGAGUAGGAAAGCAGGGGAUCGCAAGACCUUGCGCUUUAGGAGCGGCCGAUGUCGGAUUAGCUAGUUGGUGAGGUAAAGGCUCACCAAGGCGACGAUCCGUAGCGGGUCUGAGAGGAUGAUCCGCCACACUGGGACUGAGACACGGCCCAGACUCCUACGGGAGGCAGCAGUGGGGAAUUUUGGACAAUGGGCGCAAGCCUGAUCCAGCCAUGCCGCGUGAGUGAAGAAGGCCUUCGGGUUGUAAAGCUCUUUCGGCGGGGAAGAAAUCGCACUGGUUAAUACCUGGUGUGGAUGACGGUACCCGAAUAAGAAGCACCGGCUAACUACGU